rnacentral:lncRNA from 1 species
ACCUUACUUGACCCGCAUAGGAAUUUGGUGGUUCGGAUAGGCGACCAGGGUGAAUCAGUGUUUAUGCUGACUCAACCAAAAUCGUGAGCUGGAGCGCCUCUCCAUCGAACAGUCGUAGCGAGAAGACAAUCAGGCCUCCUAAUAGAUGAUUUUUGAGUAUUUGCGUGAACAAAGCGUCCCGCCGGGACUAAAAGUAAAAAAACGCUACGAAGAGACCCUGGAUGCCCCAAAAUCGUAGAGGCAGAAGUUCUGGGAGGUGCUCACGCCAGGACAAAGGGCGAUGGAGAUGCAGCAAUGGUCGGUGCUACUACCAGCAAUGCUGCCUAAGCCGGCUGAUUAUCCCCUACCCUGGGUGGAUCUGUUCCCCUUUACCCCUUGUUCAAAAUUUUUUUAUGGAUUUGAAAAUAUUUACUUAAAAUUGCCAAGGAACGGCUAGCCCAAUUUCGGCCGCAUACUUCAGACCUUCGU